GGAAGUGGGUGACUAGGACAAGCAAGGAGCAGCUGGAGAUGGCCCAUUCGUUCCACCUCCAACUCCAGGAGUUCUUUGAGGUCACCGGGCACCACCCUUCAAGGCCUCGGGGCUAAACUUGCAAAGCACCAGGGUGCUGGGUGAACAUGGCUGUGUUCCUGCUCGGCACUCACUACCCACUUCAUCCUCACGUUCAGUCCACUGCUUCAAGAGAAGUGGGUCCCCUGGAGCAGAGAAGAAGUUGCUGACCUCCACCCUAGUCUAUCAGAGGAGGGUCCUAUUCCCACGCCAUGGGUGAGCAGGGCAGCUCAUGACCCAGGAUGGCGCCUUUGUGUGAGCUGUUGAGGAAGCCGACAGCCCCUUGUUGAGAACCUGAGGAUGUCAGGAACCAGCAGGCAGCCCUAAGGAGGACGACCUUAUCAAGUUUGUCUGAAGCCAUCCUAGCUCUGGAAUUUUCAGCUAUGCAUGUCAAUACGUUCUUUUUAAUCUUAAAUUAGCUAGACUUGGUUUUCUUGCUUGCAGCCAAAGAAACUUAACUGACAGAGUCUCUUGGAAGAAAUCCUACUCCAGAUGUGGAGGUAACAGGAUUAAUUAGUUCCCAAGAUCCUUGCCUUCCAGUGGAAACAGCGGCCGCAGGAGUCUGCCUAAUGGAGCCCUCUGUGAGCUGAAUUUGUCCUGUUCUGGGCAAAAUCUGGAAGCUCAGGAGAUGCAGUUAGUGUCCUGCACUUUCACUUCACAGAGCAGACUUUUCUCAAUUUCCGUGCACACCAUAUCAACACUACUGCAUCUUUUAAUUCAAAUGAAAUGCCUGAAGGAGUUCAGGAGGGAGAAACCUCAUAAUAAGUGCCAUUAUUCUGUUUGGAUUGAGUUUUCAGACCAUCAGACUUUAUCAAACACAGACUCAUUAUCAAAUAAGAAUACAAAUACAUGUAAUUUUUGAUUAUAAUAUUUUUAGAAAUAUAAAUCUGUUUUCCCCUUUUAUUGAUUAAUUCCACUUCGUGCCAUUUAAACUGCUGAGUUGCUUUCUGCUCAGAAUCUCAGGGAAAGGAUGUGACGUGAUGGAAAACAUAAAAAUGAGACCAAAAACCCCCCAACUCCAGGAAGCUUCCUGACAGAAAGAUCACACAUUUAAGGCAAUGGAGAGUCUCCCAAGAGACCAAUCUCUUGGGAUAAAUAUCACGGGGCGAGGGUUGCUUUGCCCUUCUGGAGAGAGAGUUCUCCCGAGCGUAUGUGGGAAGGAAGAGAGGAAGGCAUCAGAGAGGAGGUGCUGACAAUACAAAUGGGCGGGCUUCAGAGAGAGGGGUCCCAGGCUCUCCUCAGACCUCUGUGCCCCAGAGGCCUCGCUGGGGCCUCUGCCUGCGAUUCUGCAGGGCCAAGGGGAGAUGCCCAUCCUCUGCCACCCAGAUUCCUUGCUGGCUGGGCCCAAGAAGCUUCUGGUCCCUGUCCUGGCCUCCACCAUGUGAAGUGUGGGCCACACUGCCAUGGAGGGCUGGGUGGGUCCCAGGGGCAUGUGGUGUGAGGGUCCUGGGAUGGGAGACAGGCUGCACUCCACUGUGCUCCUCUCGCUCUCCCUCCAUGUUACAGGCCAGCCCCAGGGCCCCUUCCUUGGCGGAAACCCAGCAAAGUGGCACAAUUCCCAGCCAGCGUGGUAAGAGGAGAGUCCCAGACUCACUGAAGAGAAUUUUCACGACCUCUGCCACUGCUGCAGCAUCAGGUUUGAUAUAGAAACUAGGCUGAGUCAGGUAAAAAAUAUCUGUCACACGCUCGAGUUUACGGGUGGAGACCGAUGACCUUCUAGGUCAGAUAUAUUCGUCUCCAUUGGCGUGGAAAAUCAAGAGUUGACCUCACUCCUCAGUCACUCCAAGCGCGACAGCUAAAUCUGCUGGACCCAGCAGCCAGCAGCACGCAAGCGUCGGGACAGGUGAUCGUAUUUCACGUCGCUGGAUUGUGCUUCCUUGCAACGUACUCUUGUGCAUUUCGAAGAACUGCCUUUUCUUCAUUCGAUUAUGGAGUCUGUCCUCAACGGAGAAGGGAUGAAUCAUCGGGUUUCCAGAGGAAGCUCCUGAGAGAGGUUUUUUCUUUAACAUAUAACCAAUGAAGUCCUAGGACAAGAACACAUUUAUCUUUUCUAAUUGUUUCCCUCCUCUAAGACAUAGCAGGUUUUGUGGAAAUAUUAACGUAAUAGCUAUGCUGAAUAAUUCUUCAACCGAAGAACAGUAUAAUUAACCCAGUAUUCUUUUUCUAAAAUCUCCUCCAUUUUUCUGAUACCAUUUUUCUCAUCCUUCACCUGGGGAUAAAGUGAGGGGGGAAAAUAGAGAAAGUACGGGGCAGCCGUUGUCAGCCACGGUGAUUUUCCACACUGGGGGAACUGGGCAGUUUCUGCAGACAUUUCUGGCUGUCGCCAUUGGUGAGGUGGGGAAAGGGGGGAUGUCUGGGGAAAGGCCGGACUCUAGUGGGAAGAGGCCAGAGAUGCUGCCAAACAUGUUCCGAUGAAGAGGAGUACCCUCACCCGCAACGAAGAGAUAUCAGAGGGCCAUCCCCGUGGCCUAGCGGUUGAGUUCGGCGUGCUCCACUUGGGUGACCCGCCAUGUCAUGGUGGCAGCUCUACGAAAAGAAGAGGACCAUGUUAGCUUAGGGUGACUCUUCCUCAGCAGAGCGCGCGAACUUAACCACUCGGCCCGCGGCCAGCCCCCAACUUUCUAACAAAAGGAUAAAAUUCCAUAAAAUCAAUAUUAUGGUUAUUACAAGCAUAAAAACAAGACCAUGAUUAUGUUUCA